AGUGAACGCUGGCGGUAGGCCUAACACAUGCAAGUCGAACGGCAGCACAGUAAGAGCUUGCUCUUACGGGUGGCGAGUGGCGGACGGGUGAGGAAUACAUCGGAAUCUACUUUUUCGUGGGGGAUAACGUAGGGAAGCUUACGCUAAUACCGCAUACGCCCUACGGUUGAAAGCAGGGGAUCUUCGGGCCUUGCGCGAUUGAAUGAGCCGAUGUCGGAUUAGCUAGUUGGCGGGGUAAAGGCCCACCAAGGCGACGAUCCGUAGCUGGUCUGAGAGGAUGAUCAGCCACACUGGAGCUGAGACACGGUCCAGACGCCUACGGGAGGCAGCAGUGGGGAAUAGUGGACAAUGGGCGCGAGCCUGAUCCAGUCAUACCGCGUCGGUGAAGAAGGCCUUCGGGUUGUAAAGCCGUUUUGUUGGGAAAGAAAAGCAGCAGGUUAAUACGCCGCUGUUCUGACGGUACCCAAAGAAUAAGCACCGGCUAACUUCGUG
rnacentral:rRNA from 1 species